GGAGACAAAGUGGACACGACCGUCUCAGAAGACACCAACUGUGCAUAUGACAGGAUCGUGGUUUAUGGGAAAACUUUCCUGAAGGCGAUCACUCCGUUCUCUGCGAAGGUCUACGACAUCGGGAAGCAGCUGAAAAUCAGAAAGUCCAAGGUGAAAGAGAUUAGUGACCACUACCCUGUGGAGGUGAAACUGAAGAGCUCCGCCCUGCUCCUUCAGGCCACGCCCCUCCUGCUCCUCCUCCUCGCCCACUUCUUCCUGUGACCGUACAGUCCUCACGUUGUUCAGACUCACACCGAUAUUCUAACCACCGCAUUUAUUUAAGUCACGUCACCUGGUGUCUGUCACUUGACCAAAGUAAAAUGUCGGAAUUUUUUAUUUUUUUUUUAAAAUCACGAACAAACUUUUCCCACUCGACACAAAGUUUAAAUUCUCCUUUAACUUCUACGAUUGAAAGACGGUUGAAUUAUUUUCAAUUGUUCCGAGAGAAAUGAGCCGAGCAGUAUUUUAGGUCUCGCUGCUGUGACCUCUCAUCCACAGCACCACCUACUGGUGGAGGCUGUUCAAAGUUAAACAGCUCAUAUACGUGUGUACAGUUCAUGACGCAUCGUAUAAACCAGCGUCUUUAGAUUUUUGUAGCAGGUGAAUCUCUGUUUUUAAAAAUCUAAUAUGAUCAUUCAUCAUCGUUUGUUCGUCUCCGCCCAGAAACUGAUGUAAAUAUAUUUGGAAAAUUACAUUUAUGGUUUUUAUUGCUUAGUAAAGUUUUGUAUGUUGAA